rnacentral:misc_RNA from 1 species
GAUGAAGAACGUAGCGAAAUGCGAUACGUAAUGUGAAUUGCAGAAUUCAGUGAAUCAUCGAAUCUUUGAACGCAUAUUGCGCUCUCUGGUAUUCCGGAGAGCAUGCUUGUUUGAGUAUCAGUAAACACCUCAACUUCCAUAUCUUUUUUGAAAUGGGAGUUGGACUUGAGUGAUCCCAACGCUUUUCCUCACCGAAAAGUGGCGGGUUACUUGAAAUGCAGGUGCAGCUGGACUUUUCUCUGAGCUAUAAGCAUAUCUAUUUAGUCUGCCUAAAAAACAGAUUAUUACCUUUGCUGCAGCUAACAUAAAGGAGAUUAGUUCUUGUGCUGACUGAUGCAGGAUUCACAAAGACAGGCUUCGGCCGACUUUGUAAACUCGAACUCAAAUCAAGUAAGACUACCCGCUGAACUUAAGCAUAUCAAUAAGCGGAGGA